rnacentral:tRNA from 1 species
CGCGGUGUGGAGCAGUUGGCAGCUCGUCGGGCUCAUAACCCGAAGGUCGUAGGUUCAAGUCCUGCCUCCGCAACCA